UGCGGUAAAAACCUCAGGAUGUGCAAAAUCGAGCGGUCCGCUGGCGCGUCGCUCGAAUCGAAGCCCAUCAAUGGGGUUGGCGGUGGUCGAUAGCAUGCCGGGAUGACGUUUCAAAGCAUUUCACGCGAAAAUCAGAGGUUUUUGCGCAUGGGACAUCUGCAAAUCCCUCUCUGGCAGCGGCGUUUUCCGGAACAGGUGCCCNNNNNNUGACCCCGCUGCGCAGGACUCGCCUAUCUGAGCGGUCUAUUCUCCACCGCCCGCCUUUCCUUCAAAUCCUUCCACACAGCAGAGCCGAUGCAGAAGGAACGCCUGAUACCGCUGAUCGUGGCCUGUGCGCUGUUCAUGGAAAACAUGGACUCGACGGUGAUCGCGACCUCGCUGCCGGC
rnacentral:misc_RNA from 1 species